rnacentral:piRNA from 1 species
ACUGAAGAAAAUGUCUCUUCUCCUCUAG